ensembl:lincRNA
AAAUUCCCGGAGUCAGGUGACCUGGCCCCGGAGCUGCUCCCGGGACCUGCGGGAGGUGCUCUGCGACCGCCCACGCCCCGGCCCGCGGCGCGUCCCGGACGUCCACGCUCGCGUUUCUGCGGAUCGUGGGAAUCCUUCUGCGUGGGAGUUUUAGAAAUGCUAACUGAGCUCAGGUUUUGAACAUGUCUGGGACUGUGAAUUGGCUGCCAGAAUGAAGUGAGUAACUGCUAUCUAAAGUCUGUUAAAAUCUGAUGGGAUAAACAGGUUACAUGAUUUGAGGAGGGGAAAAUAUGAUGGUGUGAAGAUCCUCUUAGCCAUUACAAAGAUAUGGCAGGCGUGUGAAGGACAAUUGUGUGCGUUCAUUAGCUGCUUCCACCAACCAAGAAUCGGCAUCAAAAGGAAGAAAUUACCAGCGCUGCUACAUUUAAACUCAGCCUGGGCCAGCAGCGAUGAGCAGUGGCCACAGUGAACCUUGGAGGCCACUAGGCAGUGGCUACAGGCUUGGCAGAUCGGUGGAGAGUCACUCUGCAAAGGAUGAAGGUCUGAUUCCCAUUCCUGGGACAUUGUUCUUGAGACCCAGCGCUGACUGAGCUCUACACUAGGGGAAUUGUUGGACAUAGAAUUGAACCAUUAUACGCGGUUACCAUCUAGAAAGGCUCUCUUUCUCUUAUAAAGCAAAUCUCCUCCAGACACUUUGACACCACACCACUCAAGUGGGGCAGAUGGUACAUCCGUUCCUCUUGUCUUCCUACUGUGUGGGGAUCUAGGCUCAGGCUCCUUUGGUGACUGACAGUCUAGGGUUAUUCAGACGGAAAUAUUUGGCAGUGUAGAGGAGAGAGCCUCAGCGGCCCUGAGUAAGGAUUCGAAGCUCUCAGUUCAGAGUGAAUGUGGACUGUUGAUGUAGACCAUGGCAAGGACCAAUGUCUCAGGCCUAUAGGAAGUUGGCAAAACUUCUGCUCCCAACAGAGACCUCCUGAGGCGAGCUAACUCCUCCCCACUGUGCUGCGAUAGCUGACGCCCCCUCAGCCCACCUACCACCUCACCCAGCAUUUUUGUGGAGAUGUGUCUGUCCUUUCUGUAUUCCCUUACCACUUCUUGUCAGAUUUCCAAGAUGAAACUCUGCUGAACUCGGCAUUCAAGAAAAAUAAAUGAUAAUAUUUGUUGCAAUGGUAAAAUCCAUUUCUGUCGGGAGGUGAAAUCCUUGGCUCAGACACACUGUGCAAGUCCUUGGUUGCUGAACUACAGACCAGCCUACGACUCAAGCUCUUUGACAUAAAACUAAUUUUCUUUUUUCUUCUAAAAAUCUGUUUUCAUUAUGAACCCAUGAGUUUCCCAAAAUGUGAAAGACUUUGCUGAUUAACUUGGUCAGGCCGUAUACAAACAUAGUUUUGAUAUUGUGUAAUAAAAAGUGAGAGCAUUAACAGCACUUAUAAUUCAGUGACUGAAUGAGCAAUGUGUAAUAUGUCCAAAGCAUUCACAGGAAGAGGAUCUGCGAAUCCUCAAGUGCAAAAUAGAAUAGUGGAACUUAGUGGAUCAGUAAUAAGUCCACCUUCUCAUAUAAGAACUAUAAUUCAUUUUAAAAGGGGGUUUCUUUUCUUUCUUUUUCUUUCUCCUCCUCCUCCUCCUUCUUCCUUCCUUCCUUCCUUCCUUCCUUCCUUCCUACCUACCUAUCUAUCUAUCUAUCUAUCUAUCUAUCUAUCUAUCUAUCUAUCUAUCUAUCUAUCUAUUUAUUUAUUUAUUUUGUGCAGGGGAACAAACUGAGGGCCCUGAGCUUGCUAGGCAAGUAUCCUUCUGCAGAGCUGCUUGCUGAUCAAUUCAUCUUUAGCAAAGCCUCACUUGUCAUGUCUUAGACAGAAACAAAGGAGACGGUCAUAUAUUACCUGAAACAAGUAUACAAAAACAUUCCUCCCUUUUAUAGUGACAGCCAUGCCCCAGCCCCACAUUCAUGGAGGACCCCCAGAGCACAGCAGAAUAUGCAAAUGCUUAAGUCCUCCGUGGGAAAUGCCGAGCAGUUUGCAUAUAUUCUCCCAUGUACUUUAAAUCACCCCAGGAUUAUUUACAAUACCUGACAUGAUGUAAGCAUCCUAUAAAUGCUUGUUAUCGUGUGCUCUUUAAAGAAUAAUGAGAGGGAUAGGGGCAAGGUUCUUACAUGUUUAUUACCAGUGCACGUUAAACCAUAUUUUGACUCUUUGGUUGGGUGAAUUUGCAGAUGUGGAAACUGGGUCUAUAGAAGACUGACUGCUAUUAUCUAUGUAUGACCAGACUUCCUUCAAAUAGUUCAACCAAAGCAACACAUUGCAGCAAAUUAAAUGCAGAGCAGAGAUGAGAUUCCAGAUGUCUUUUGUUAGGCUAAACUUUAAAGAACUUGCAAAAAUGCAAAAAUAAUUUCAAUUCUGUCAUUUAAUGUUCUUUCACUGUGAAAGUAUGUUCCUUUGUCAUAAAACUACAUUAUGAUAACAUGUUACAG